GCUGCCCAGCUGGGGUCCAGAUGUGGCAGCUGUGUCACACGGAGCCCGAGAUGCAGCAGAUAAGAGGUCUGGUGGGCCUCGGUUUCGGGUCUGUUCCGCAGCGGUUCUAGUUUAUAUGUCGCGGUUGUUGCUAUCUGAACUUU